UAUCUCACAUGGAAUGUGAAUUGCUAAGUGAUUUAGUAUGCAGCUUGUUAAGUGGCUGAGCAAGUGACUCAGUUAGCAACUCGUUAUGUGACUCAGUUUGUGGUUUAGUGCAUGACUCAAGUUACUCAGUCAGUGUUUUAGUCAGUUAACACUAAACUGAGCAUAUCUGACUCAGUCAUUGCCUUCGGAUGGAACUCUGGAAGUGACUCGGUUAGACUCUGUGUGCGAAUUCAAUGUGUGGUUGUGCAUAUGUGUCGCCGUGAAUGUAAAUGGCCAUUGAUUAAAAUGCAAAGCUAAGCUCAUGCUACGCUACUUAGGGAAUACAUUAGUCGUAUGCUAACAGGCAUGAUUCCAGGUUGGAGCGGUCGUUCAGGUGUGUGUGUGUGUGUGUGUGAGAUUCCAAAACCUGUCUCUGCUCACCUCCUUCUUCCCGGCACGCUGCAAAGGAACCCGGUGAACUCAAAGAAGUCAUAUCUGCAUCCCGCUGCAGGAAGCGAGCUGUUGCCGUGGAAACUGCAUCUCUCUUUGUUCGCGUGUGUCGUUGUGAAGUAGUGUGCAGAAUGCACCCUUGUUACGUAACUGGUAAACACAAACAUACAAGGAUGCAGAAUGCAUAUUGAUACACGGGUACCUUGACUCCCGCGUGCCCUCGCUUGCAUCUUAUAGUUAUAAGAUGUAAUUUAGUCGAUUUUGCAGGUUUGUCUUUGUUACAGUGAAGUGAAAAAAAAAAGAGUAAUUGCAUCAAAAAUCGAUAUUGCGACGAUUUAUGUCAAUACGGUAUCGAUACACUGCUAUCAAAUAUCGGUAUUACAAUGUGAUGUUGUCUUUUGUGAUACGGGAUCAAUAUAGGAUCUUCAAAUAUCAAAGUAGACAUAUAUUGUGUCAUCAGCUAUUAUUAUUAUGAUUAUAUGUACCAGUGUGAAAGACAAUUACUCUGGUGAAUGAAUGGCUACUGUUCGAUGGAUACAUAGAUUAGUACGACUUUCUGCCAUCUAGUGGAAGAACAUUUCAUAGUUCUGCCUGUCACUAUACAUUACUAGCAUAGAUAGAGAAGCAAAGUUGCAUUAUUUGUAGCACAUAAAUUGAAAUCCUUAUAUGGUUCAUACAGGAGGGGUUGCACGGCUAUCGUUGGCAAACUUGGGAUGUUGUAACUCUGCAGUUUCCUCGGUGUACUGCAUGUGUGUGUGUGUGUGUGUGUGCGCGCGCAUGUGCAGCGGUGGAUUGUGGGAUGUCUGCAAAGAUUUAACCCGUGCAUGACCUCAAUGGUGAUCUGAAAAA